GCGCAAUUUCAACCUUUACUGUUGAAAUAUGCUUUACUUUGCCUGCACAGUUGCAUAUGCAUGUGAUACACGCACAAAGAGGUUGCAUGCGACAUUUCUUUACCCUGUUCAUCGUGGAUGCAAGAUGAGUUUCUUUCAGAUGACUAAGGCCACUGUCUGUGGCUUGUCCUUCUGGAACAAGAUGCCAAUCCUGAGUCAUAUCAACCGAAAACAACGGGAAUGAAUCUCUCGUUUUCAUGGUACAGAAAAAACCAAAAUUUCUGCUCAAGUCUGUCUGUUGUUUUUGGUUGUCUCGUUAUCAUUUCUUCAUCAUCAUCAUAAAUGGAGAAUUUGAUGGAAAUGAAAGCCUCCACUAGGCUUGGAGUAGGUGGUUGAGUUGGUGAAGAGCUAGGGCCAAGAGGUAUCUUCUCUUUGUGAUCUCUGAUUCGAAUUCCUUUGUCCACUAAUAUUAUUUGUCACAGGCCGCAGGGCAUGCUCUUGAAAGUCUUGUUUAGAGAGAAAAGAUUUGGCAUGGUGCAUGCAAGCCAACACAUCAUACCCUUCCUAAAAAAUAAAAAAGAAUGCCAAUAUCUUUUAGGACCCACCCUCUUUAGGGAAGCUUGUGGCUAUCCAGUUUUUUCGAUCCACUUGCAAGCUUUUUUGAGCUGUUCUUCGUGAGUUAGGCGCUCCUAGUUCGCAAAUUGCAUUUUCAUAAUCAAUUUAUUCUUCACUUUUACUUUUAGAUUAGACCUACACUCCAUCAUCAAGUGGAUGGUGCUCAUCGAGUAGUGGUGGGGUGCAAGGAUUUUUUAAGGCCUUAAUUUGGCCUAAUCUAUCCUAUGACCCUGCUGAUCUGUGCUUUUUUAACAGGGACGGUGCAAAUUUUCUCUUAUUUGUCAAGUUUUUACCCUUUUAGAUACUCAAAUUUCAAGAUUACACAGGAUAUUUACGUCUUGUGAGGCUUCAUACCGGUGAAUUCAACUCUAUGGCGCCUCCAUGAAUGCUUGAUGUAACACCGACAAGGUUUUUCUUGGGGUACCUUUUGUACUGAUUUAUAUCACUGUAUAUGUUUUUAUGGCGAGAAUGAAAUUUCACUUUUAUACUGAAAAGAAA